ACGAACGCUGGCGGCGUGCCUAAUACAUGCAAGUCGAACGGCUUUUCUAUGGAAGCUUGCUUCCACUGAGAAGAUAGUGGCGAACGGGUGAGUAACGCGUGGGGUAACCUGCCCAUAAGAGGGGGGAUAACAUCCGGAAACGGGUGCUAAUACCGCAUAGUUUUCUUGAUCGCAUGAUUGAGAAAGGAAAGACGGCCUUUGUGCUGUCGCUUAUGGAUGGACCCGCGGCGUAUUAGUUAGUUGGUGAGGUAACGGCUCACCAAGACGAUGAUACGUAGCCGACCUGAGAGGGUGAUCGGCCACAUUGGGACUGAGACACGGCCCAAACUCCUACGGGAGGCAGCAGUAGGGAAUCUUCCGCAAUGGACGAAAGUCUGACGGAGCAACGCCGCGUGAGUGAAGAAAGGUUUUCGGAUCGUAAAACUCUGUUGUCAGAGAAGAACAAGUUGGAGAGUAACUGCUCCAGCCUUGACGGUAUCUGACCAGAAAGCCACGGCUAACUACGUGCCAGCAGCCGC
rnacentral:rRNA from 1 species